CGGGCGUACCAUGCUGAAUAUACCGGUUCUCGUUAGAUCACCGAAGUCAAGCAUCGUUGGGCGCGGUCAGUACUUGGGUGGGUGACCACCUGGGAACACCGCGUGCCGUU
rnacentral:rRNA from 1 species